rnacentral:rRNA from 1 species
GUAGGGAAUCUUCCACAAUGGACGCAAGUCUGAUGGAGCAACGCCGCGUGAGUGAAGAAGGUCUUCGGAUCGUAAAACUCUGUUGUUAGAGAAGAACACGAGUGAGAGUAACUGUUCAUUCGAUGACGGUAUCUAACCAGCAAGUCACGGCUAACUACGUGCCAGCAGCCGCGGUAAUACGUAGGUGGCAAGCGUUGUCCGGAUUUAUUGGGCGUAAAGGGAACGCAGGCGGUCUUUUAAGUCUGAUGUGAAAGCCUUCGGCUUAACCGGAGUAGUGCAUUGGAAACUGGAAGACUUGAGUGCAGAAGAGGAGAGUGGAACUCCAUGUGUAGCGGUGAAAUGCGUAGAUAUAUGGAAGAACACCAGUGGCGAAAGCGGCUCUCUGGUCUGUAACUGACGCUGAGGUUCGAAAGCGUGGGUAGCAAACAGG